rnacentral:lncRNA from 1 species
AUGAAGUUCUGUGCGCACAUUUGUUCUGUGAAUUUUCAGGGUAGGAGGCAUCUUAGAAAACCAAAUGAAUUCUACCCCUGGGUGCCAAGGUCUUUAAAACAUCAGCUGACUUCUGAGGCUAAAGCUGACACAAACAGAAAGAGAGGCUGUGCAGAAAGUUGUUUGCUUUGCUAUUUUCAGAUAACAGCAUCUCUUCAGACAGACCUUUUUUUUCUCAUUGCUGCAGCCUGGAGGGGAGAGGACUUUUGUGUUUACUCCACAUCCCUACACUCACGCACAGUUUUACUGGAAUCUGAGUCAUCUCCAGAAUAUCAGCAAAAUCCUGGCUGAAGACAGGAGAUCUCCAUAAAGCAGGGCUUGCUUUUUCUUUUUCUUUUUUUAAAAUUCUAAGCUAAAGAGUGGAUCUAGCAAUAAAAUACAUCUCUGAGUGAUGAUGGUAUCUACU